AGCGGUACCACUGGAUUACAGCCUCUGAGGAUCGCUGCAAAUUAUGAGUCUGCAUCUCUGACCACUGAGGGGGCUGGGAAUGUGGCUGUUUCUGCCUCGUCCUUCAGUGCGGACAAUGAAAUGGCCUGUCUGAUUAGUCAUUAAUGCAGCAGAUAUUGUUACUAUGCAGCAGAACCAUCCAGAUAUUGGCACAGUACGGCGAUGGGUGGCGCGUUCACGAAGGUCUCCUAGAAGACAGCUGGCAGAUGACCCUGCUGCUCAGAUGGUGGUCCCUCAUGUUCUUAAACAUGACAUAGUUUUCAGCUUCACUGGGCCCCAACUGCUGAUAAUUUUUCUCCGGAAUGGGUGUGGAAACAGGGAAAGCGCUUUUGCUACUGGCCAUCUAGGUUUAAGGACAUAAAGACAAUGUACUGCAUGCUAAACUUAUCGUAAGCCUGUCACUGUUCAUCAAGCACCCAUGGGUGGGUCCCCAAAAAUGCAACCCUUUGAGAGAGUCCAGAUGAUCAUUUUGGAACUGCCAAUAACAAACGGCAGUUUGUCUGCUCAUUAAUAAUUUUUUAUUUUUUUAAAUAAUUUUUGAGCAGACUUUUUGAAUCAGAUGUGGUCUUGACCCACUGUCGUUUGCUGAAUAUAAAGAAAAUCACAGCAUCAGACGGAAUGGUGGAGCGUUUUACCAGAACGUUGACUGAUCAAAUAGCUAAGAUACUGUUGCCAUGUGGUGGUCAGUAGGACGAUUACAUCAAAAAGGUGGUGUUUGCAUACAAUUCUUCACCUCCCCCUAGCACCAAGUUUUCACCAUUCUUUUUGGUUAAUGGACAAGAACUAAGGAUGCCCACUGACUUGUUGCAUGCCACAUGUGCACUUAACCAGAACAACAUUUAACAUCUCAUGCUGCAUUCGUUUCCACUUUACUUGACAAAAAACAAUGUACAGUGAAGUAGCUUUAAUCGCCAGAAAUUAUAUCAUGAUUCAGGACUCAGACAUCAGCCUUAUGCAGUCGGUGCCAGGGUGUGGCUCCAUAAUCCUGUGGAAAGCAGCACGAAGCUGGUACCUCACUUGAAAGGACCUUUGAAGGUUGUACAAGUCUUAGAGUCUGGUGGAGAGUCAGGACUGACAUACAGGAUCAUGAGCACACUGGACUUAAACAGGUUGUGCAUUACAAUAGACUGAGACCUUCCCAGCAAACAUGUCCAUGUGGGCCCCACAUGGGUUUUAUCUGGGUUAUAUGGGCAUCAUAUGGGCAUGGGGUCAGAGUGGGCACUUUAAUGGGCUGAAUGUGGGCCCCAGCUUAGUCACGGUUGUGGGCCCCAGUUAGGUUGCCCAUUUUGUUUAUCUAAAUGUUACAUAUUAACAAUAACAUAGUAUGACCUUUAGUUAAAAAAAAUAAAAUAAAAAUAAUUCGGUUGUGCAGCUCACAGCGCCUCCCAUUGGCUCCUGUGCUCCCGCCUUCUGAUUCUGAAGAAACGGUCGUCACUCACUACCACUGGAGCACGAUAACCUGACAUCUCUGUCACGGUGUGCAGCUGAGGAAUCUGCAUAGACCCACCAGUAAACUAUUUUACUCAGUAAUUCUGUUAUUCCUGUUUCUUGUUUACUUUAAUUAAUUUGAAUUAAAUGUGAUUUACACAUUC